UCAAUUGUCUUAUAAUUGAAGACUGGAAUGAAUGGUUGAACGAAAUUAAAACUGUUUCAUUUGUAUUAAUUAGAAAUUGGCUUUUAAAUGAAGAGAUUUAAAUUUAAUUAAUAGACAAGAAGACCCUAUUGAGCUUAAAAUAACUUUAAAAUUAAAAAUUUAUUAUUGGAGAUUUAAGUUUUAAAUGUUUUUUAGUUGGGGCGACUAAGGAACAGGAGAAGCUUCCUUUAAUUUGUUAAAUUGAUGAAUUUUGAUCCAGUAUUGAGCUGAUUAAUGGAGAUAGUUACCAUAGGGAUAACAGCAUAAUCUUCUUGGAGAGUUCUUAUCAAAAAGGGGGGUUGUGACCUCGAUGUUGGAUUAAAAUAUCCUAAGGGUGUAGAGGC
rnacentral:rRNA from 1 species